UACAGAGGUCUCAAGCGUUAAUCGGAAUUACUGGGCUUAAAGGGUCCGCAGGCGGUCUGACAAGUACCUUGUGAAAUAUCAGGUCUCAACCCUGAAACUGCUCGGUAGACUGUCAGACUUGAGUGCAAAGGGGUCGCUGGAACUCUAGGUGGAGCGGUGGAAAUGCGUAGAUAUCUAGAGGAACGCCAAAGGUGAAGACAGGCGACUGGUUGCAACUGACGCUCAUGGACGAAAGCGUGGGGAUCAAACGGG
rnacentral:rRNA from 1 species